GACGAACGCUGGCGGCGUGCUUAACACAUGCAAGUCGAACGGAAAGGCCCUUCGGGGUACUCGAGUGGCGAACGGGGGAGUAACACGUGGGUGAUCCGCCCUGCACGUUGGGAUAAGCCUGGGAAACUGGGUCUAAUACCGAAUAGCACCACGCGCUUCAUGGUGUGUGGUGGAAAGCUUUUGCGGUGUGGGAUGGGCCCGCGGCCUAUCAGCUUGUUGGUGGGGUAAUGGCCUACCAAGGCGACGACGGGUAGCCGGCCUGAGAGGGUGACCGGCCACACUGGGACUGAGAUACGGCCCAGACUGCUACGGGAGGCAGCAGUGGGGAAUAUUGCACAAUGGGCGCAAGCCUGAUGCAGCGACGCCGCGUGAGGGAUGACGGCCUUCGGGUUGUAAACCUCUUUCACCAGGGACGAAGCGUAAGUGACGGUACCUGGAGAAGAAGCACCGGCCAACUACGUG
rnacentral:rRNA from 1 species